UCAAAUUGACUGAGCCCAUGUUGAGAGAGAUAAUACCAUAUAACAUUUUUUUAAAGCAGAAACAACAUACCGUUUAGUGAAUUAAGUGUAUACUGAGUUUCAUGCUGUUUGAUAAAAGUAUUUCCACAGAAGUGAAAAAAUCAGGAAUAUCACUGACAUCCCUAAAGUCAAGAAAGAGUUAACAGAGCUUCAUAUUUCUUAUAAGUUAUAAGCUGUGUAUUAGAAGACAAAGAUUUAAAAUUUGAGCUUAACUGUGUUUUCUAAAUUCUAUGUUAGACACUGAAAUAAAGCAUCUGUGUUUAGCCUUAUUCCUAGUGUAUCCCUAUACGAUGUUUUCAUUUUCUAUUGGCACUCUGGUUUGUUGCAGCAAGACUUUCUCAAAACUACUUUUGCUUGUCCUUUGUGUGAAUAUUGAUAUUUAUAACUUUUUACAUAUAAUGAGCUUGUCUCUCUUUCCAGGUGAUGGCAAUGCAUUCUACAUAUAGAUGGAUGUACUACUUUUUCAUACUAUCUGUUUUUGUUUGUUUCUUUUGAUCCUUUUUGCCAUAAAGUUUAGCUGUUGUCCCAUGAUUACUCAUAACCUUACAAAACAAAUUAAUUUUUUUACAUCUACUUUUGUAUGGUCUUUUUCUUUUUGCAGAGCUUUCUGCUUCUGCAAACAAAUAUAAUAAACUUGUUUUAUACUAAGAGCAGUAGCAAGCAAAGGAGGUUUUGAGAUGAUUUUGGAGAGCAUUUAGGUCACCAUUAUGGCCAAUUCUAAAUCUGUUUUAAUUUGUGUGUGUAUGUGUGUAUAUAUACUAUGUAAAUAGUAAACAGUUUUUUUUUCAUUUGUUUGUUGGCCAUCUCUGUCUUCUUCCUGCAUAUCGUCAAAGGACUAUGAGUUUUUUGUAAGACUUGAAAACAUCAGGAAGUGCUUUACUCAGAAGGCUGUUAUUUUUGUCUUGGAGGAGCAAAAUCCUAAAACAGGACAGUUGAUACAGAGAAGAUACAAAUCCCAGAUGGUGAGUGUUUUAAGUUUUUGUUGAGUUAAAGAAUAAAUACAGAUUUAGGCUUGUCU